UACAGGGGGUGCAAGCGUUAUUCGGAAUCACUGGGCGUAAAGAGCACGUAGGUGGCCCGCUAAGUCAGAUGUGAAAUCCCUGGACCUAAUCCAGGAACUGCAUCUGAUACUGGUGGGCUAGAGUAUAGGAGAGGAAAGCGGAAUUCCAGGUGUAGAGGUGAAAUUCGUAGAUAUCUGGAGGAACAACAGAGGCGAAGGCGGCUUUCUGGACUAUUACUGACACUGAGGUGCGAAAGCGUGGGGAGCAAACAGG
rnacentral:rRNA from 1 species